rnacentral:rRNA from 1 species
GGGCCCGCACAAGCGGUGGAGCAUGUGGUUUAAUUCGAUGCAACGCGAAGAACCUUACCAGGGCUUGACAUACUACAAAUUUUUGGAAACAGAAAAGUGCCUUCGGGAAUGUAGAUACAGGUGGUGCAUGGCUGUCGUCAGCUCGUGUCGUGAGAUGUUGGGUUAAGUCCCGCAACGAGCGCAACCCUUAUUUUUAGUUACCAAUUCGUUGGGUUCUCUAGAAAGACUGCCGGUGACAAACCGGAGGAAGGUGAGGAUGACGUCAAGUCAGCAUGCCCCUUAUGUCCUGGGCUACACACGUGCUACAAUGGUUAAGACAAAGAGUCGCUAGCUUGCAAAAGUUUGCU